GAAAUGCGAUAAGUAGUGUGAAUUGCAGAAUUUAGCGAAUCAUCGAAUCUUUGAACGCACAUUGCGCCCCUUGGUAUUCCAUGGGGCAUGCCUGUUCGAGCGUCAUUUCAACCCUCAAGCACUGCUUGGUGUUGGGCGUUUGUCCCGGCUACGCGCGUGGACUCGCCUCAAAGUCAUUGGCGGCUGUUCCCCUUCGGCUCGUAAGCGCAGCACAGUCGGCGCCCGGAGCUCUGGUGGGAUGGCGUCCAGCAAGCUAUAUUUUCAGGCUUGACCUCGGAUCAGGUAGGGAUACCCGCUGAACUUAAGC
rnacentral:misc_RNA from 1 species